rnacentral:rRNA from 1 species
CACGUAGGGCGCAAGCGUUGUCCGGAAUUAUUGGGCGUAAAGAGCGCGCAGGCGGUCGUUCAAGUCGAGUGUGAAAGCCCCCGGCUCAACUGGGGAGGGUCAUUCGAUACUGAUCGACUCGAAGGCAGGAGAGGGAAGUGGAAUUCCCGGUGUAGUGGUGAAAUGCGUAGAUAUCGGGAGGAACACCAGUGGCGAAGGCGACUUCCUGGCCUGUUCUUGACGCUGAGGCGCGAAAGCUAGGGGAGCAAACGGG